rnacentral:lncRNA from 7 species
CUGUAGCAAUAUUGCUUUUCUCUUGCUCUCCAUAGGAAGGCAGGCUCUACUGAUGAGCUUUAGAGUUGCAUCUUGUGAAAUGAUUACAGUGGAAAUAUGGAAGGUGGAAAGAAGGCAUAAGAAGGUGUAACCAAGUCAACACAACUGUGGACCAUACUGAACACUCAGGUACACAAGACUUUCAACUUGUUUACAUCCCAUCAUCUCUGAUUUGCAGCAUGCCUUCACCCAUCUAUGGGAAUACUAUCAGACAUACAGAUCUCCUCUCCAUGAUUGUGGGGGAGUGGCAGUAUGGAGACAGAACUUUGACAAAAUACCUGUUUGCUCUAUAGGUAUAUGUAGCUGGGCAAACUGAUCAAAAUCAGAGGAAGACAGAUAAACAAUAGAAGUGCAGCUAAAAAUGGGAUAGUUGCAAAAACUGAUAAUAAAAUGGCUAAGUUGUGAAAAAACAGAGGACGUUAAAUUUUAGUAAGGAAUAUAAGAAGAGUUAUCUGAUGACUAGAAGAAAUGGCAAUGUUCAUCUUAAGAAUUGAAGACAGUAGCUAUUCAAAUGACAGAGAACUUUUCAGUGUGUAUGGAUGUACAGGACAAAAACAUAGUGAAAAGAACUGUUAAAUGAAUAGCGUUACUAUUUCAUACCAAUCUGAAGUGACAUUGAGCAAAUACUCAGGUUCCCAAGUCAGUGGGGAAAAAAAGAAUAUUUCAAUUGCAACGACAGUUCUCAAAAACUUUUGGUUAACCUGAUCUAAAUGGAGAUGUUAUGUUGGGAAAAAGAAUAAGGCACAAUCUUGAAAUAUAGCAGUGGUGAAGUAAUGGAUUCGUAGGCAUUUGGGAAAUAAAUCAGAACUAACAGCACUGUCAAGAAGAGAGUUAAAAAUAUAUCUUCAACACAAACAUAGAUAUUGAUAAAGUUGUACGUUUUUAUGGAUGGAAGACCUUACACUGCUGGUAAAUAAAAAUCCAUGAAACUAUGGUCAUAACAUUACUACUGGAUUAGAAACAGUUGUAUUAAAUAAAAUAUACCAUAGAUGGGAGGCAAUGGAAACAAGUGUUUGAAAUGUGUCAAGUAUAAAGGCAAAUUAUUUUAAAACAAGUGCAAAGUUAGAGUAAGAGUGAGGUAUGAAAUCUUUGUAUGAUAUUGUCUUUAACAGAGUUAUGGUAGUGGAACACAAGUUCGAGAAAAUACAGAAGUCAAAUAAUAAGCUCAGUUAAUUUUUUUCUGUAUGUAGAUAUAUAUUGAAAAAUAUUGAGGAAAAUUGCUAUAAAUUAAAUAUGUGUGACAUGGAAAAACAUUGCUUUGUUGAAAAGUCCUGCAUAGUAAUUUGUAGGGUAAUAUUUAAUGAAAAAGUGAAAAAUAUUCUCUUUUCAAACAAUUCAUGAUUUCCUAUUUUCCUCUCAACCAUCUGAGUCUGAAAAUUCCCACCUCUCCUGUAUAUACUUUAAUCAUUUCAAUUCUCUUUUUUAAUACUUGUUCCUGCUGAGAUUUUCUAAAAUGCUUUCCAUACAGAGCAUAAAAUAUUCAUUAUGGAUACUAUGAAU